CGCGUAGGCGGUCCACUCAGUCAGGUGUGAAAUCCCCCGGCUCAACCGGGGAACUGCACCUGAUACUGGUGGACUCGAGGAUGGUAGGGGUGAGCGGAACUCCAGGUGGAGCGGUGAAAUGCGUAGAUAUCUGGAGGAACACCGGUGGCGAAAGCGGCUCACUGGGCCAUCUCUGACGCUGAGGCGCGAAAGCUAGGGUAGCAAACG
rnacentral:rRNA from 1 species